UAGAGGAAGUAAAAGUCGUAACAAGGUUUCCGGUAGGUGAACCUGCGGAAGGAUCAUUAGAGAAACGAUACCCUCCGGGGUAGAUCUCCCACCCGCUGUCUAUAUAUACCAUUGUUGCUUUGGCAGGCCUGCCUGAGGGCUGCCGGCUCCGGCUGACCAGUGCCUGCCAGGGGAAAUAAAACUCGUUUUGUCACCAGUCGUCUGAGUACUUUAUACAAUAGUUAAAACUUUCAACAACGGAUCUCUUGGUUCUGGCAUCGAUGAAGAACGCAGCGAAAUGCGAUAAGUAAUGUGAAUCGCAGAGUUCAGUGAAUCAUCGAAUCUUUGAACGCACAUUGCGCCCUCUGGCAUUCCGGGGGGCAUGCCUGUUCGAGCGUCGUUAACAACCCUCAAGCUCUGCUUGGUGUUGGGCCCCGCCGGUUCUGGCGGGCCUCAAAGUCAGUGGCGGUGCCGUCGGGCUCCGAGCGUAGUAAUUCCUCUCGCUUCUGGAGACCCGGGUGUGUGCUUGCCAGCAACCCCCAACUUUCUAUGGUUGACCUCGGAUCAGGUAGGGAUACCCGCUGAACUUAAGCAUAUCAAUA
rnacentral:rRNA from 1 species